CAAAGUAAAAGUUCAUUGUUUUAGAUGAAUUUUCUUUUGAACCAAAGUAAUUUUUCGUCAAACAGUCGACACAUCUUCAUUAUUAGCUUCUGUUAGGUGAACGGGUCGGCGAGAAGCUUUCCCGACAACCAGCCAGACCUAUUCAUUUUCUCCGGAAUCUUCCUGCCGCGCAACCACCAGACAGCACCGAAAUCACAAGACGUACCCGGCGUAGGAAAGUUUCGACAGCUUUGAUAGGACAAUCGACAGUGGACUCUUAGGGCAAUCAUUCAUCAAACUAAUUGGAAGAGGUAACUGUAUACCGACUGUUCCGGUCCUCCAACUAUGCGGUUGCAAUCGCUUCGGGCCGAUCCAAGAAGACUCAACAUCUAGCGCCGAAACCCUUCAUCAGUUGUUCGGGUGCAAACAAACAUCGUCCAAUGAACCGGUUCAAGAACUAUUAUCCUGUGGAAAAUCGAUAAUCUAAAUGAAG